GAUAAACGCUGGCGGCGUGCAUAACACAUGCAAGUCGAACGAUGAAGAUUAAAAGAUUUCUUCGGAAUGAACUUAAUUGGAUUAGUGGCGGACGGGUGAGUAACGCGUGAGUAACCUGCCUUGUACAAGGGGAUAGCCGUUGGAAACGACGAAUAAUACCCUAUGACAUCAAAUAAUCGCAUGAUAAUUUGAUCAAAGAUUUAUCGGUAUAAGAUGGACUCGCGUCUGAUUAGCUAGUUGGUAGAGUAAAAGCCUACCAAGGCAACGAUCAGUAGCCGGGUUGAGGAGGGGUACGGCCAACUUUGGAAUGGGGCACGGCCCAGAACCCUACGGGGAGGAGGAGGUGGGGAUUUUUGACAAAUGGGGGAAACCCUGAUGCAGCGACGCCGCGUGAUUUAGAAGGCCUUCGGGUUGUAAAAAUCUUUUGUAUGGGAAGAAAAUGACAGUACCAUACGAAUAAGGACCGGCUAAUUACGUG
rnacentral:rRNA from 1 species